GAUGAACGCUGGCGGCUUGCCUAAUACAUGCAAGUCGAGCGAACAGACGAGGAGCUUGCUCCACUGACGUUAGCGGCGGACGGGUCAGGCACACGUGGAUAACCUACCUAUCAGACUGGGAUAACUUCGGGAAACCGGAGCUAUUACCGGAUAAUAUAUUGAACCGGAUUGUUCAAGAGUGUGAUACGGUUUUGCUGUCGCUGAUAGAUGGGUCCGCGCCCGAUUAGCUAGUUGGUAAGGUAACGGCUUAUCAAGGCAACGAUGCGUAGCCGACCUGAAAGGGUGAUCGCACACCCUGGAACUGAGACACGGUCCAGACUCCGACGGGAGGCAGCAGUAGGGAAUCUUCCGCGAUGGGCGAAAGCCUGACGGAGCAACGCCGCGUGAGUGAUGAAGGUCUUCGGCUCGUAAAACUCUGUUAUUAGGGAAGAACAAAUGUGUAAGUAACUAUGCACGUCUUGACGGUACCUAAAGAGAAAGCCACGGCUAACUACGUG
rnacentral:rRNA from 1 species